GAUGAACGCUGGCGGCGUGCCUAAUACAUGCAAGUCGAGCGAACGGACGAGAAGCUUGCUUCUCUGAUGUUAGCGGCGGACGGGUGAGUAACACGUGGAUAACCUACCUAUAAGACUGGGAUAACUUCGGGAAACCGGAGCUAAUACCGGAUAAUAUUUUGAACCGCAUGGUUCAAAAGUGAAAGACGGUCUUGCUGUCACUUAUAGAUGGAUCCGCGCUGCAUUAGCUAGUUGGUAAGGUAACGGCUUACCAAGGCAACGAUGCAUAGCCGACCUGAGAGGGUGAUCGGCCACACUGGAACUGAGACACGGUCCAGACUCCUACGGGAGGCAGCAGUAGGGAAUCUUCCGCAAUGGGCGAAAGCCUGACGGAGCAACGCCGCGUGAGUGGUGAAGGUCUUCGGAUCGUAAAACUCUGUUAUUAGGGAAGAACAUAUGUGUAAGUAACUGUGCACAUCUUGACGGUACCUAAUCAGAAAGCCACGGCUAACUACGUGCCAGCAGCCGCGGUAAUACGUAGGUGGCAAGCGUUAUCCGGAAUUAUUGGGCGUAAAGCGCGCGUAGGCGGUUUUUUAAGUCUGAUGUGAAAGCCCACGGCUCAACCGUGGAGGGUCAUUGGAAACUGGAAAACUUGAGUGCAGAAGAGGAAAGUGGAAUUCCAUGUGUAGCGGUGAAAUGCGCAGAGAUAUGGAGGAACACCAGUGGCGAAGGCGACUUUCUGGUCUGUAACUGACGCUGAUGUGCGAAAGCGUGGGGAUCAAACAGGAUUAGAUACCCUGGUAGUCCACGCCGUAAACGAUGAGUGCUAAGUGUUAGGGGGUUUCCGCCCCUUAGUGCUGCAGCUAACGCAUUAAGCACUCCGCCUGGGGAGUACGACCGCAAGGUUGAAACUCAAAGGAAUUGACGGGGACCCGCACAAGCGGUGGAGCAUGUGGUUUAAUUCGAAGCAACGCGAAGAACCUUACCAAAUCUUGACAUCCUUUGACAACUCUAGAGAUAGAGCUUUCCCCUUCGGGGGACAAAGUGACAGGUGGUGCAUGGUUGUCGUCAGCUCGUGUCGUGAGAUGUUGGGUUAAGUCCCGCAACGAGCGCAACCCUUAAGCUUAGUUGCCAUCAUUAAGUUGGGCACUCUAAGUUGACUGCCGGUGACAAACCGGAGGAAGGUGGGGAUGACGUCAAAUCAUCAUGCCCCUUAUGAUUUGGGCUACACACGUGCUACAAUGGACAAUACAAAGGGCAGCGAAACCGCGAGGUCAAGCAAAUCCCAUAAAGUUGUUCUCAGUUCGGAUUGUAGUCUGCAACUCGACUACAUGAAGCUGGAAUCGCUAGUAAUCGUAGAUCAGCAUGCUACGGUGAAUACGUUCCCGGGUCU
rnacentral:rRNA from 1 species